rnacentral:rRNA from 1 species
GAUGAACGCUGGCGGCGUGCCUAAUACAUGCAAGUCGAGCGAACAGACGAGGAGCUUGCUCCUCUGACGUUAGCGGCGGACGGGUGAGUAACACGUGGAUAACCUACCUAUAAGACUGGGAUAACUUCGGGAAACCGGAGCUAAUACCGGAUAAUAUAUUGAACCGCAUGGUUCAAUAGUGAAAGACGGUUUUGCUGUCACCUAUAGAUGGAUCCGCGCCGCAUUAGCUAGUUGGUAAGGUAACGGCUUACCAAGGCAACGAUGCGUAGCCGACCUGACAGGGUGAUCGCCCACACUGGCACUGAGACACGGUCCAGAGUCCUACGGGAGGCAGCAGUAGGGAAUCUUGCGCAAUGGGCGAAAGCCUGACGGAGCAACGCCGCGUGAAUGAUGAAGGUCUUCGGAUCUUAAGACUCUGUUAUUAGGGAAGAACAAAUGUGUAAGUAACUAUGCACGUCUUGACGGUACCUAAUCAGAAAGCCACGGCUAACUACGUG